rnacentral:rRNA from 1 species
UACGGAAGGCAGCAGUGGGGAAUAUUGCACAAUGGGCGAAAGCCUGAUGCAGCUAUGCCGCGUGUAUGAAGAAGGCCUUAGGGUUGUAAAGUACUUUCAUCGGGGAGGAAAAACAAAACUAAUAAUUUUAUUUCUUGACGUUACCCGAAAAAGAAGCACCGGCUAACUCCGUGCCAGCAGCCGCGGUAAUACGGAGGGUGCUAGCGUUAAUCAGAAUUACUGGGCGUAAAGAGCACGUAGGUGGUUUUUUUAAGUCAGAUGUGAAAUCCCUGGGCUUAACCUAGGAACUGCAUUUUGAAACUGAAAUACUAGAGUAUCGUAGAGGGAGGUAGAAUUCUAGGUGUAGCGGUGAAAUGCGUAGAUAUCUGGAGGAAUACCUGUGGCGAAAGCGGCCUCCUAAACGAAUACUGACACUGAGGUGCGAAAGCGUGGGGAGCAAACAGGGAUUAGAUACU